GAGGGUAUAGCUCGGUGGUGGAGCAUGUGCUUAGCAUGCAUCGGGUCCUGAGUUCAAUCCCCAGUACCUCCA
rnacentral:tRNA from 1 species